GGCGCCCACUCCCCUGAGAUCGUUCUGUACCCGACGCGAAGCCUUUCCUGCCCCUUUGCCUCUCAGCCCAGGGAAUGGGGAACCUUUCUAUUCCUACCCCAAGGGGACGCCCCCAGCUCACAGCACAUUCCCAACCCCUCAUGGAGUCCUUAAUUCCAAGGAACCCCAGACCCCUUUCCCCAAGAACUUCCUCUCUUUCAUCCAUCCCCAGGAGUUCCUCUUUUCAACUCUUCCUGAGUCUCCCUCAGCACCCCUCUCACUCCUUAACCCGAGGAGUCCUCUAGCCGCUACCCUGGGUCCCAGUCCCUUCCCUCCAACUGCUUCCUUCACAGGCCUCGCCAUCGCUUUCUAAAUAGCAUACGCUCUUUAAGACCCCUCUUCCCUCCCUGAGUCACCCGGUCCACCCGACUGUUCCUUUGAGUGGCAUAGAAGCGAGGAUACGUAGAAGGAACUCCCCUCGCACGUGUCUUUCCAGCAUUUACCUUUCUGUGUCAGAAAUAGCUGAGAGGUCUCACCUCUGGAUUGGGACGGAUGGAGGUGAUCAUGGGAAGCUUAAUUUGCACAACUGUAUCGGCUGCUAGGAUACUGGACACCUUCGCAGUUCUGUAACUUCAGGUUUGUUAGAGCUUUGACACACGUUUCAUUCUUGGGCAAGGGAAUAGCAAAGGAUUUGGCUGAAGAAGGGUUAGGUUUUUGGAAAUCUGAAUGCCUCCUGUGCUGUAAUAGUUAAAAUUAGAAUUUCCAGGAAGAGAGGGCAUCUCUGGAUUUCAUGACCAGAAGUCUGAUUAUAACUGAGACCCAGGAAAAAGCAUACUCUCAUUUGGAUUUUUUUGAGGAGGCGCAUCUCAGAAAUCACUGGGCUAGGAGGGAGUAGCCUGUCAAACAUAACAGCUUAUGUUAUGAAACAUAAUGGCUGGAGCUGGAGUGUGGGGAGAUAACACUUCUUACUGAAUGCUCAUUAUGUGCUAAGUACUGUUCUAAAUUUUCUGUGUAUUAACCGGGUUAGGGAAUUAAUUCCUUCUCUGACCUCUAACCCUCCUGUACUCACCUUACCGGGUUCUUGCUGCCCCCCACCCCCACCCCCACCAAUUUCUGAUCAUAGGAAAUAUCUGGGAUACUUGUUGAGGAUGUUCUUUUUGUAUUUCAUUUCUUGCACAGCAGCAUCUUCUCCAAGAUGAAUCUCCCCAAGUGCAGGGAGUUCAGUAGUAAUUCAUAGAGCUUUCCCCACACUUACACUUUGCAGUUUCCUGCCUUCAUACCCUUUUUCAUGCUCUUCUCUCCGAGAUCACCCUCACCACUGUACCCUUCCUUCCUUCAUACCCCAUCAUUUAUCCCUUCCCAUCCUGCACAUCCUUUCAUCUUUCCUCCUUGAAGCUCUUGAUUCCUCCAGCUGGAACCCAUCAUUCUACCACCACCAUCCACCUGGUUGCAUGCAAGGAAUCUCCUUUGACACACUUCUGUAAGAAUUAAAAGUUAUAUUUAUUCUGCUUCC